GAAAUGCGAUACUUGGUGUGAAUUGCAGAAUCCCGUGAACCAUCGAGUCUUUGAACGCAAGUUGCGCCCUAAGCCUUCUGGCCGAGGGCACGUCUGCCUGGGUGUCACAAAUCGUCGUCCCCCCAUCCUCUCGAGGAUAUUGGACGGAAGUUGGUCUCCCGUGUGUUGGGACGCAAGGAGUGUCCCGACAUGCGGUGGUGAAUUCAAGCCUCGUCAUAUCGUCGGCCGCUCCUGUCCAGAAGCUCUCGAUGACCCAAAGUCCUCAACGCGACCCCAGGUCAGGCGGGAUCACCCGCUGAGUUUAA
rnacentral:misc_RNA from 1 species